rnacentral:rRNA from 1 species
AAGCGAAAGUGACGGUACUUGCAGAAAAAGCGCCGGCUAACUACGUGCCAGCAGCCGCGGUAAUACGUAGGGCGCAAGCGUUAUCCGGAAUUAUUGGGCGUAAAGAGCUCGUAUGCUGUUUGUCGCGUCUGCUGUGAAAUCCCGAGGCUCAACCUCGGGCCUGCAGUGGGUACGGGCAGACUAGAGUGCGGUAGGGGAGAUUGGAAUUCCUGGUGUAGCGGUGGAAUGCGCAGAUAUCAGGAGGAACACCGAUGGCGAAGGCCGAUCUCUGGGCCGUAACUGACGCUUAGGAGCGAAAGGGUGGGGAGCAAACAGGCUUAGAUACCCUGGUUGUCCACCCCGUAAACGUUGGGAACUAGUUGUGGGGACCAUUCCACGGUCUCCGUGACGCAUCUAACGCAUUAAGUUCCCCGCCUGGGGAGUACGGCCGCAAGGCUAAAACUCAAAGGAAUUGACGGGGACCCGCACAAGCCGGCCGGAGCAUGCCGGAUUAAUUCCGAUGCAACGCGGAAAAACCUUACCAAGGCUUGACAUAUACCAGAACCGCCUUAAAAAUACGGAA